rnacentral:rRNA from 1 species
UACAGAGGUCUCAAGCGUUGUUCGGAUUCAUUGGGCGUAAAGGGUGCGUAGGUGGCGCUGUAAGUCGGGUGUGAAAUUUCGGAGCUUAACUCCGAAACUGCAUUCGAUACUGCGGUGCUUGAGGACUGGAGAGGAGACUGAAAUUCAUGGUGUAGCAGUGAAAUGCGUAGAGAUCAUGAGGAAGACCAGUGGCGAAGGCGGGUCUCUGGACAGUUCCUGACACUGAGGCACGAAGGCCAGGGGAGCAAACGGG